CUUAGGCGGAACGUACGUCGGUCGGUAAUAAACCGGAGGAAGUGGGGAUGACGUCAAAUCAUCAUGCCCCUUAUGACCUGGGCUACACACGUGCUACAAUGGUUGGUACAACGAGUUGCGAGUCGGUGACGGCGAGCUAAUCUCUUAAAGCCAAUCUCAGUUCGGAUUGUAGGCUGCAACUCGCCUACAUGAAGUCGGAAUCGCUAGUAAUCGCGGAUCAGCACGCCGCGGUGAAUACGUUCCCGGGCCUU
rnacentral:rRNA from 1 species